UACGGGGGGGGCAAGCGUUGUUCGGAAUUACUGGGCGUAAAGGGCUCGUAGGCGGCCUACUAAGUCAGACGUGAAAUCCCUCGGCUUAACCGGGGAACUGCGGCUGAUACUGGAUGGCUUGAGUUUGGGAGAGGGACGCGGAAUUCCAGGUGUAGCGGUGAAAUGCGUAGAUAUCUGGAGGAACACCGGUGGCGAAGGCGGCGUCCUGGACCAACACUGACACUGAUGAGCGAAAGCCAGGGGAGCAAACGGG
rnacentral:rRNA from 1 species